rnacentral:tRNA from 1 species
GGGAAGGUAGCUCAGUGGUAGAGUGCUUGCCUGGCAUGCAUAAGGCCCUGGGUUCGAUUCCUCAGCACCA